GGGGUUGUAGCUCAGUGAUAGAGUGCUUGUCUAGCACAUAUGAGGCACUGAGUUCGGUCCUCAGCACCACA
rnacentral:tRNA from 1 species